rnacentral:rRNA from 1 species
UACGAAGGGGACUAGCGUUGUUCGGAAUCACUGGGCGUAAAGCGCACGUAGGCGGAUGUGUCAGUCAGGGGUGAAAUCCCGGGGCUCAACCUCGGAACUGCCUUUGAUACAGCACGUCUCGAGUCCGGAAGAGGUGGGUGGAAUUCCUAGUGUAGAGGUGAAAUUCGUAGAUAUUGGGAAGAACACCGGUGGCGAAGGCGGCGACCUGGUCCGAUACUGACGCUGAGGCGCGAAAGCGUGGGGAGCAAACAGG